UACGGGGGGGGGCAAGCGUUGUUCGGAAUUACUGGGCGUAAAGGGCUCGUAGGUGGCCAACUAAGUCAGACGUGAAAUCCCCUCGGCUUAACCGGGGAACUGCGUCUGGAUACUGGAUGGCUUGAGUGUGGGAGAGGGAUGGCGGAAUUCCAGGUGUAGCGGUGAAAUGCGUAGAUAUCUGGAGGAACACCGGUGGCGAAGGCGGGUCUCUGGGCCGAUACUGACGCUGAGGAGCGAAAGCGUGGGGAGCGAACAGG
rnacentral:rRNA from 1 species